rnacentral:rRNA from 1 species
UACGGAGGGUGCAAGCGUUAUCCGGAUUCACUGGGUUUAAAGGGUGUGUAGGCGGGUCUGUAAGUCAGUGGUGAAAUCUCCGAGCUCAACUUGGAAACUGCCAUUGAUACUAUAGAUCUUGAAUUUUGUUGAGGUAGGCGGAAUAUGUCAUGUAGCGGUGAAAUGCAUAGAUAUGACAUAGAACACCGACUUGCGAAGGCAGCUUACUAAGCAAAUAUUGACGCUGAGGCACGAAAGCGUGGGGAUCAAACAGG